UACGGAGGGUGCAAACGUUGCUCGGAAUCACUGGGCGUAAAGCGCACGUAGGCGGUCCGAUAAGUCGGAUGUGAAAGCCCUGGGCUCAACCUAGGAAGUGCAUUCGAAACUGUCGGACUUGAGUACGGGAGAGGGUUGCGGAAUCCCCGGUGUAGAGGUGAAAUUCGUAGAUAUCGGGAGGAACACCAGUGGCGAAGGCGGCAGCCUGGACCGAUACUGACGCUGAGGUGCGAAAGCGUGGGGAGCAAACAGG
rnacentral:rRNA from 1 species